rnacentral:tRNA from 1 species
UAAACAUUUUUAAUGCUUUAUAAAAAGUUAGAAGCUUUUUUUAAAUUUAUUUCUUU